GAACGAACGAGCCAAUGGAGGCAUUACGAAAAUGUCCGACACGAAGGACUCCCUUUUCUCGCUGCACCUGCAGUUUGCGGAGGUUUCGUUUUCCCAAGAGAGCGGCUCCAACCUGGCAACCUCCUUUAUGAGAAUCUCUACAACCUGUUCACCGGGGAGCUGACUUUGGUGGCCUGUCAAUCACAGGGCACAGCGAGACAACCAUCCAUUCACACUCACACUCUCCAAUUAAAUAAAUGAUGCUUGGACUGUGGGAGGAAAUUGGAAUAAACCCACACAAGUUCAUCUGAGAUUCACACCCGGAACCACCUGGCUGUGAGGCCACCACGCUGUCCACCCCAAUAUUCUAUAAUGUUGAAAUAUUUAUAUUGCACUUUGCUCUGUUCUUUUUGGGCUAACCCAAACAGCAUCACUUUCAUGAAGUUGGAGAUUUCUCCAAUAAAGAAUAGCCUUGACACAUAUUUCAAACCAGCUAUAAUUGUGAUCCCCACUAUAUUUGCUGUUGUUUGUUACCUGUGCUCAGUCAUUAGUGAAAUAGAUUCACUUGGCAUUGACAGUCUUCACGUUUACUCUUAAGGUUUGAACCUUUCCGUGUGGCAAAAAAGUACAGGUAUGUUCCAAAACUGUAAAGGUCAAGUGUAUGAAUAGAGCACUUUUGAGGCUACCACCCCCUAUCAAACGACCAACCCAGAAAU